AUGUUUGGGGGGAAUGUUCUGAGGGGGCUUCAUGGCAAUAUAUGUUUUACUGUAAUAAAUUUUACAAGUUUAAAUACUCACUGUAUUUUUCAAUCAUGCCCUGAACUACUUACUCUGACUCUUCUACAAGACCUCAAAUUUCCACUGAAGACUCUUACCUACUUUUUUAAGGCCGAUGGCUUGUGUCAGCCCUUGAUUCCUGGUGCCACUCCUGCCUGCCAACUCAGGAAAGGCUUCUGUAAUGCCUUUGGCUUUUCUGAAAUAACUUCAAGUCACAAGUCAGAAGCUGACACCAACUAACUCCCUCCUGAGGAUGGACACUUGGCCAGGAGUUCAAGCAGAAGAAGGUUUGGAAUUACUUGAUCUUUAUUAAAAUCAUGCCUACCCUCUACCUGGCAAUUAAAAUAAAUUCCUCCCCAGAGAGCAGCCAGAGGUUGUACAAACCUCUUCCAACCAGCAAUAAAUAGUCACCUUUGAUUAGAGAAAAGCAGUAAAAUGCAGCAAUGGCUGACAAAUGUCAAAGCCUAGAGCAUCGUCAUAGAGUUUUGAUCACCUAACAGCUAUUUCUCAUUUCGUACCAUGGAUUUUUUUUUUUUUUUUUCCUUUUCCAGUACUGAGGAUUGAACUCAGGUCCUUGAGCUUGCAAGACAGUAGGUGGAACCACUGAGCUAAAUCCCCAGCCCUCAAGGAUGGCUUUUAAAUCAACCUACUCAGCAUUAUUUACUCAGUCAAAUGCUUCAGGAAAGCAUAUCAAAUCCACAAUCAGCAGUCCAUUUGCAAAAGUUCUGUGUGCAUCCCUAAGGCUAUGUUGGACUUGAAGGUAAGAUACUUUGCAGGUGGUCAUUAAGAUAUAAGGAAACUUCCGAAGAAGACAUGCUUUAUUCAUUAUGGACAGUGUCUAAAAAAUAAAACCACAUACAUCUAGAUUCGAGGAUUUCAACUCUGACCCUGUUGUGUGAUUUAGGAUCUUCAUUUCUCUCCUAUGUUUGCUUCCUCAUUCCGUUUAUAUUUUUAGACAUCAUGAAGUCCCAAAAGCCUAUGAAAUGACUGCUUCAGAAUCACCUGGGGACCUCUGGAAAAUAUAAAACCUACUCCUAGAAAAUUUGAUUUACUAAGUCUGGGAUGAUGCCUAAGAAUCUGCACUGCUAACAAGCUACAUUUUUCUACCACUCACACUUUUAAUUCCGAUGCAGUCAGGUUUGGAAUCCACUAGAAUGAAUGAUCUUUAAGACUCAUGUUACUUUUUUAAAUUGUAAAACUGCGGAUUGAAGCUUCAUUUUCUAUUCUUUCAACCCAGAAUGUUUCCCCAUCUAUGACUAGCAUUCCCAAUCAAAAACCAGGGAUUGUCCAACUUCAGGUUAGCAAUGGAAUGGUAAGUCUAAAACCAGUACAUUUCAAUUAUUAAUAGCUGGUUCAACCUAGUAUUAUAGUAUAUCUCAUUUAUGAAAGUAUGAGGUAGAUCUAAGUAUAGAUUUUUCUAGAGAAUACAUAAUCAGAAAUAAAGGUUUUAAGAUAUUAUAUGUUGUAAAUAUUCAACUAUUUGUUGGAAAUAGGAAAAGUAACAUACAAAAAGCUAUGUUCCUGAACGUUAAGGAUAAGCAAAAAUUGUUAUGAUAAACAAGCAACUCUACUUAUCCAUAACUUAAGAUGCUUAAAACCAGCAAUGAUCUACCUAGAGCAAUAAUAAACUUUUAAAGAGUGUUUUUGAAGUAUAAGGUGCCAUAUGAUUAAUUUAACCCAAUAAACUAUAAUGGGUCAGAGAAAGAAAUACCUAGUCUUACUGCUAAUAUAUCAAAGUUUCAUUAUUGUAAAAAAAGGAAAGACUGAGUUAACUAGAAGUGCUGCUCACUGACUACAGAUAUCCUAUGAACAAAUUUACCAUGGAAAAAUGAAGUACUGCUUCUUACAAAUCUGCAAAACCUAAAGUAGUAAUAUCUCGGACACAUGAAGUCACAUUAACUGUGGGGCGGAGAACUCAGGUAGCCCCCAGAGUGUUCUGGGAGGUUUUGAAGUAUGUCUCAUUUGAAAAAAUACUGUGUUCAGCACUAGGACAUUUUGACAUCUCAUUGACUUGGCUUACCCACUUCCUCUUACCUUGCAGAAUCAUCCCCAAUAUCUGAAGUAACCUACAUCAAAUGUAAAGUUUUCUAAGUUACUGCAUAUAAUUUUCCAUUCCUUCCCUUGGUUUGGUAAAACUUCAAGAAGACUAAAUACAAGAGUAAUCAAUAAUCCCCAGGUAGAAUCACAAUCUUUGGGGUUUAACCUUUUCUCCUUUCUGAUAUUCAGUAAACACUACAUUUAGCAUUGCCUUGAAAUCCCACACUGUUUCAGGCUAACUUAAAACCAGAAUCAGCAGUCACAAACCAAGUAGUUGCUGGGGAAGAGAAGGAAAAUAAGAAAUUGCAAUGCAAGACAAUCACAUUCAUUCAAAUAUUUGUGACUUCUCAUUUGGAAAUUUCAUUUAGAAGCUAUAAUUGUACAAACACCAAGUUAGUAAUUAAUGGUUGUUAUGUGCAAUUAUUACAGAACUUGGUGAUGUCUAAUUAGCUACAUUUCCAGGAACCACUGCCAUUUGGUUUCACCACACAGGUUGUGCUACAAGGAAGGGAGCGAUAGGUGUGACCAGAUGAUAGCAACAGCAGCAUCAUGGCUGGCAGGUUACCCCUGCUAGCAAGGGAAAGAUCAGGACUUUCAAAAGUACCAAGAGAAUCUCAUAGAUCAAACCUCCUGGAGGCAAUGGAUGAGCUCUUAGAUUCUAUAACUGAAUCUGCUUCAAAAUUUGUGGUUAGGUGCAUGUAUUUAGAAAGAGAAUCCAUAGAUUUUUUAAGAUUUUUAAAUUAUAUUAUCUAACAAUCCUCACAAUCAAUGAAGUUACUAAUAUUCUCAUUUUACAGACUGAGAAAACUGAAUAUUAUGCAAAUGAAAACUUUACAAAGAAAGUGGUUAAUUACAGUAAUUUUAAAAUGUUUUUAGCUAGUCAGAAAUUCUUUUGACCAUGAAAGAACUGGUACUUUAAUUUAUAUCUGUGGACUAGAAACCAAAUGAUGGGCAAACAUAUAAAUAAUGGUAUAAAUGAUUUUAAUAAUUUAAGCAAUUUUGAAAUAACAAAAAUACACACAGCUUCUAACCUGUACCAUGAGCUAUUUUAAAAAUUUGACAUGGUGACUCAUUUAACCCUCACCACUGUUCUAUGAGGUUCAGGCUAUCAUCGUCUCCUUUUUUUUUUUUUUUGGUACCGGGGAUCGAACUUGGGACCUUGCACUUGCGAAGCAGGCAGCGGCACCACUGAGCUAAAUCCCCGACUCCAUUUUAUAUAUAAGGAAGCAGAGACAACAAAAAGGUAAAGUAAUUUGCCCAAGGCCACAAAGCCAGUAAAUUGCACAAUCA
rnacentral:lncRNA from 1 species